GGAGACAGAAAGACUGAAAGAAUCAAAGAGAGCGAGAUUAAGAGAGUGAGAGAGAAAAGGGAUAGAGGAAGUCUGAGGUCAGAAUAUAAUUGAAUAUGAUAUGAAAGUGACAUUUUCCUACAUCAUACUUCCAGGUCAUCUUGACUAGGCUUCAAGAUUAUAUCAUCAAAUUCACCAAAACGAGGUCAUUUAAGAUACACUGUAUAUUUAAAAUGAUACUUGCAUUUGUGUACCCGAUGCCAAUUUCCUGAUAUCCAAUUGGUAGUUACAGUCUUGUCUCAUCGCUGCAACUCCCAUACGGACUCGGGAGAGGCGAAGGUCGAGAGCCAUGCGUCCUCCGGAUCACGACCCUGCCAAGGCGCACUGCUUCUUGACACACUGCUCGCUUAACCCAGAAGCUAGCCGCACCAAUGUGUCGGAGGAAACACCGUUCAACUGGCGACCGUGUCAGCGUGCACGGGCCUGGCCCGCCACAGGAGUUGCUAGAUGGGACAAGGACAUCCCGGCUGGCCAAACACUCCCCUAACAAUACUGGGCCAAUUAUGCACCGCCUCAUGGUUCUCCCGGUCGCGGCCGGCUGCGACACAGCCCGGGAUUGAACCCGGAUCUGUAGCGAUGCCUCUAGCACCACGAUGCAGUGCAUUAGAUGGCCGCGCUACUCAGGAGGCCCGCCAAAUAUUUGACGCUCAAGAAGUAAGACACACUGACAAAAGUUAGAAGGGGUUUCAUUUGAAAUACAACUCCUGCAGCCUUGUUGUUAGCAUGCUUGAGGGUGUCUGCUCGAGUUGAGGACUCACAGGACGGUAAGAACCUGUUAGUGACAGACAUAUUGAUGUGUUUUAAAUGAGAUAAUGCUGUUUUUUUUACUGAACAUUGCCAGCCGGUACAUAAUUUAAAAAAAAAUAUUAUAAUAAUAAUUGUAGGCCGGCAAGGUGCCGAAAGUGAGACCUAUACAGCUGGAGGGAGUUAUGGUUCAUGUGAGGAGUUCUAAUGAAAAUGUUGUAGCUUUUCGUCUUUGUGCUUCUUCUUGGCCGUUAAAUAUGCUGAAAAGUACAUUCACUCGGAAACACCUAUAGGUGUACAUUGUAAUAUACAGGAAACUUGAGUAAAUGAGGGAUACAAAGUAUAUUGAAAGCAGGUGCUUCCACACAGGUGUGGUUCCUGAUUUAAUUAGGCAAUUAGACUCCCAUCAUGCUUAGAGUCAUGUAAAAAAAGUGUCCAGUUGCCCAUUAUUUUGGUUACCAUGGUAGAAGAAGAGAUCUCAGUUACUUUGAAAGGUGGGUCUCAAAGGGGCAUAAAGGAGUUUUCGUAACCGUAUAGAACUUGGCGUUUCACUUUAACGUUAUUGUUACUUGAUUCAUAGUUUUACUAUAGAACCCAGAGUGAAAGUAUGUUGCCAGGGAAAUUGUCGUGAACAUGACUCCUCACACACGAGGAGGUCGAGAAGGCCAGAUGGUAUAACGUAGUAGCUACAUUACAGCAUUACAGCUCAGACCCGGUGUUAUGAGUUAGUCUGUUGGCUCAGAACUUUCUGUGACUUCCUAUCCACUUCUUCCUUUCCCUCUCCUUCUGACAACCUGAUACACUUGACAUUUACACCAGUGACAUUCUAUGACAGUCACUCAGGGCAUAGUAACACACACACACACGGCACAGUUUCUCUAGAGAUAAAUCAGAUCAAGCUCAAACUGUGCGAUGUAGUACGGGGUUGUAGUUUCCAAAAGGCCAAUAUUUGACAUAGUUUAUCGCAGAAAACGUGGUAAUUAACUACAAUGACCAUAAUCCAUUGCGUUACUUGUCCGGUCUGCGUGUUUCUUUAAUGCCUGCUACGUUAGGUUAGUGUGGGGCAGACAUGGAGAGAAGAGACAGGAGAAUGUGAGAUUGAGAGGGAUAGAGAGCAGUUGCUUGGCGACGUAUCUACCUGAAAAUACAUGAUCUAAGUUGGAUUUGAUUGUUGGUAUUCAGCAUAGUUGGUAUUCACCAUAGUUGGUAUUCACCAUAGUUGGUAUUCAGCAUAGUUGGUAUUCACCAUAGUUGGUAUUCACCAUAGUUGGUAUUCACCAUAGUUGGUAUUCAGCAUAGUUGGUAUUCAGCAUAGUUGGUAUUCACCAUAGUUGGUAUUCACCAUAGUUGGUAUUCAGCAUAGUUGGUAUUCACCAUAGUUGGUAUUCACCAUAGUUGGUAUUCAGCAUAGUUGGUAUUCACCAUAGUUGGUAUUCACCAUAGUUGGUAUUCAGCAUAGUUGGUAUUCAGCAUAGUUGGUAUUCAGUCAUAAUAGUAUGCCUUAUUUAAUUUACACAACAAUUAAAAUAUUUUAUUUAAAGUAAAGUAAUGUGAAUAAAUUGUGGUUAAUAAGUGAUAAUCAGUAAUGGGCAGUCACUACCAUCAUGGGACUUGUUUUAUUCUGUGUUGUUACUUCAUUCAACCCACAUAAGGCAUUUAAUAAUUGAAACCGAAAUCGAAAACCGCGAUUAUUUUUUAAUGAUGGAACUGAACCGAACCGUCCUCAAAAAGCACUAAUCGCCCAGCACUAGUGACCACACACACACACACACACACACACACACACACACACACACACACACACACACACACACACACACACACACACACACACACACACACACACACACACACACACACACACACACACACACACACACACACACACACACACACCGAGGGAGGGAGACGAAUGGUCUGACAGACAGAGGCUGGAGGGAGACGGAUAGAUACAGAGGGAAUGAGGGAGGAGAGGGAGGAGAGAGGCAUCAUAGCUGUUGAUUAAGUGUUUCCAUGUGUGUUGACACAGUGCCAGGCAGGUACUGGACUGCUCUGCCCUGCAUGUAUGCCAGGCAGGAUAUUAAACAAAUAGGAUGCAGGGCAGGAAUGUCAAGAGUUAUCUAGACUGACAGAGCUGACCAGUGCCCAGAGACACUCUAGGUCCGGACCAAGGUGUCUAACCCAGACCUUAGCCAGACCCAGAUGAAGGUAAGUGGUAACCCAGAAAAGAGUACGAAAACAAGCUUAAACUAGGGAGAGGGGUUCCCUGAUGGUAGAGGUUAGGUCUCAAGACUUACAGUACUGUUGAGAUAAAGGAUCUGCUAUGUCUGUAAAGGCCUUCCCCUCUUUCCCUAUUGUCUGCGGCUCACUGGCUACCCAGGCUAGAGAUGUAGGCCUACUCUUAUUUAGAAUGUGUACAGAGAGAGAGAUGAAUGGUAGGCCCAGGCUUCUACAAGGGACAUUGUAUUUGUCACGUGCGCCGAAUACAGCAACUGUAGACUUUACCACGAAAUGCUCACUUACAAGCACAUUCCCAACAAUACAGUUCAAAGUUAUGAAAAUGUCCAAGUAGAUAAAAUAUGUAAUAGUAAUACAAUAUAAUAACACAAUAAAAUAACAAUAACGAGGCUAUAUACAGUACUGAGUCAGUGUACUGGGGUACGAGCUAGUUGUGGUGAUUGAUUGAAGUAAUUUGUACAGUACAUGUAGGUUUGGUUAGGUGAUUGAUUGAAGUACUAUGUACAUGUAGGUUUGGUUAGGUGAUUGAUUGAAGUACUAUGUACAUGUAGGUUUGGUUAGGUGAUUGAUUGAAGUACUAUGUACAUGUAGGUUUGGUUAGGUGAUUGAUUGAAGUACUAUGUACAUGUAGGUUUGGUUAGGUGAUUGAUUGAUUGAAGUACUAUGUACAUGUAGGUUUGGUUAGGUGAUUGAUUGAAGUACUAUGUACAUGUAGGUUUGGUUAGGUGAUUGAUUGAAGUACUAUGUACAUGUAGGUUUGGUUAGGUGAUUGAUUGAAGUACUAUGUACAUGUAGGUUUGGUCAGGUGAUUGAUUGAAGUACUAUGUACAUGUAGGUUUGGUCAGGUGAUUGAUUGAAGUACUAUGUACAUGUAGGUUUGGUUAGGUGAUUGAUUGAAGUACUAUGUACAUGUAGGUUUGGUCAGGUGAUUGAUUGAAGUACUAUGUACAUGUAGGUUUGGUUAGGUGAUUGAUUGAUUGAAGUACUAUGUACAUGUAGGUUUGGUUAGGUGAUUGAUUGAAGUACUAUGUACAUGUAGGUUUGGUCAGGUGAUUGAUUGAAGUACUAUGUACAUGUAGGUUUGGUCAGGUGAUUGAUUGAAGUAGUCAAUCUGUCUGGCCUUGUGACAUUUUGGGGGGUGACAAUCCAUUCUGAUAUUUUAUUGACAUAAUAUUAGCAUAUGUUUUGUCCUAAUUUAAAUGCAUUACGCUACAGCAUUUCCAACUACCAUUAUAUUUGUUAUUUUAAAAUAAAUGUUCCUUGUAUUUCGUUUUGAGGUGUCUUUUUGUUUCAUGUGUGGAUCCACCCGUUGUUGGUAGGUCCUAUGUGAGCAUUUCCGGUUUCAGAUUUUUUUACCUAAAAAAUGUUUUACUCUGUAAUGUUCGUACUAGUCCGGACAGAUGCCACAUUCAAAACAGACGGAAAUCUCUGACUGUGUUUAAGACAACUGUGAACUAAAUGACUUACUCACGUUGGCCACGGAGAGCGAGAGCACACAGUCCUCGUAGACGUCGGGGGCUCACUUCGGCAGCUCGAUGUUGUGUGUGU